UCAUUCUCUAGUGUGAUGAGGUCCUUAAAAGAGACACCAAGGACCAUUCAGCCUUUAACAGCCUCACUAAACUACAAACCCCAGAAUUCUGCAGGAGGCAGAAACUGGAUUUUCAGUGGAUGAAGUAGUUAAUUCAGUGUCCCCAAGGUUAUAAUCUUCUGCGCUUGUACUUGGGAGCAAACUUAAAAUCUGGUUUCUGUCUCCUGCAGAGUUCUGGGGUUUGUAGUUUGAGUUGUUGGGUGUUUUCCAGGCUGUGUGACCAUAUUCCAGAAGCAUUCUCUCCUGACAUUUGGGCCAUAUCUAUGGCAGGCAUCCUCAAAGGUUGGAAACAAAGCAAGUGGGGUUUAAAUAUCUGUAGAACUCCUGUCUGACUUACCUACUAAUAAAAGAUUCCCCCAGGCAGGAAGCAGCCAAACCUUGAAGCUGCAAGGCUUCACACUUCACAUUCACACUUGCCUCAAACAUACAAGAGUUUUUUCCUUGUUCCCAACAGACCUCACAACCUCUGAGGAUGCCUGCCACAGAUUCAGGCGAAACAUCAGGAGAGAAUUCUUCUGGAACAUGGCCAUACAGCAUGGAAAACAUGCAACAACCGAAUGAUUCCAGCCAUGAAACCCUUCAACAACCGCUGUUGAACUCUGCACAGACCUUGAUCCAAGGGAGUAUGCAUAAGGAAUGGGAUGUGUGUGUGUCUGUGAAUCUUUUUCUCCUCCUCCAUUCGUUGCAAUCACUGCCUUCCUCUCCUCUUCCUCCUCUUGUCCCCUUCCUCCUUUUAUCCUAUUCCCCAUGUCGUCUUCUUGUUCUUCCUCUUCUCCUUCUUGUCCUCUUCCCCUUCUUCUCUUCCUCCUACAUUUUUCUUUUUGGUCUCUGAGCCUCUAAUACAGUGUGUCUUAACCUUCCGAAUGCUGCAACCCCCUAAUUCCUCAUGUUGUGGUGACCCCCAACCAUAUAAUUUUUUUUGUUGCUACUUUGUUUUUGUUGUUGUUCAUUCGUUCAGUCGUUUCCGACUCUUCGUGACCUCAUGGACCAGCCCACGCCAGAGCUCCCUGUUGGCCGUCACCACCCCCAGCUCCUUCAAGGUCAAUCCAGUCAUUGCUACUUCAUAACUGAAAUUUUGCAACUGUUAUGAGUUGUCAUGUAAAUAUCUGAUAUGCAGGAUGUAUUUUCAUUCACAAAUACCCAAUACGCCCAAAUUUGAAUACUGGUGGAGUUUAUUUUGUCAUUUGGGAGUUGUAGUUUCUGGAAUGUAUAGGUCAUCCACAAUCAAAUAGCAUUCUGAACCUCACCAAUGAUAGAAUUGGUCCCAGUUUCCCUUGAAGGGACAUGCUGGCACAAGCCUCCCUCCAGCCUCGCACGCUCUCCCUUGCUAACACGUGCACACCAUGCUGCCAUGCACAGAGCAUUCCUGCUCUUCCCUCCCCACUUGGAGUCUCAGAAACAGCCCUCCCCUCAGUCUCAGAAACAGCCAGCCAAUCACAGCGGAGGAGGGCUUUUAGUGGGAGGAUUCGCCAUCUCUUUCCAAAAAGGAAGACAAGGACAGGUGGAGAGAUCUUCAUCCUUCUCUGCCAAAGGGAUUCCUAAGACCAUCAGAAAUAUAUGUUUUCUGAUGGUCUUUGGCGACCCCUCUGACAUUCCCUCAUGACCCCCCCCCCAGGUUGAGAAACACUGCUCUAAUAGCAGUUUGGUGUGUACUUGCAGGCACCUGCUUGUGCCUCUCUUCAUUCUGUGUGAAUAAUUCACCUGGCUCAUCAAUGUUUUCUCCACCUAUCUAGCUCAUGGAACUGCAUCCAUCUCCAUGCUAUCUGUUUUCUUCAUCUCCAGAUGCUGCAGACAGAGCCCAGGAGUCGGCCAAACCUCACAUUCCUGUUCAGGUGGCCUUGCCUGGGAGAAGAAUGGAGGCAUCAACACGUCAGUGUCCCCGUGUGCUCUGUGCCAAAGCACGUCCCCAGCAUUAGCGGGAGGGCAACCAAACAUACCUGUAAUAUUAUAUUUUGCAAUGGAAAAUGCAUUGGGGUAGGCCAAGAAGCGGUUUGCAGGGAUAGACUGAUAAGCCCUUCAAGAUAAACCCUGUCAUCAGGUUUCAUUACAGCAGGUGUCCUUUGGCACGUGACAAUGACUUUUGGUGCUGCAAGGAGAUCAUCCAUGUGACUUUGUAGCGGCGUCAUUUGUUCAGGAAAGCAAUACACCAGCCACUUGUGUUGUGUGUAUUUGUCUCUAUGUGUGUAUGGUUAAAGCUUCUUCCUUAUCUGACAUACUUGGUUAGAUAUGCAAAGUCGUUUAAAAGGGGGGAGGGAGUCAUGAAGGAUCUAAACAGAAUAUCAAAGGAAAACCUUUUGCCAUACAAAUCACGUUUCAUUGACUGCAGAAACAUCCUUACCUUUUUUUAUCCUUCUCCACUCUCUCCUGAACCUCCUUACCUUGCCAAAAACAUCCCACAUCUGGAAAAGGAAAACUGUAAAAUCUCAACCAAGAAGAGGUUCAAGAGGAGGACAUCACCUUGCAGACUGCAGCAUGGCAAUCUUAUCUCUUCAUAGCCAGGAAGGAUGUGUCUACCAGAGUCUUCCUCUCAUCCAACGUGUACCUUUAAAAAGCUGUAAAUAAAAUACAGGCUCUCUCUCUCUCUCAAAACCACAGUUGGGUCUGCCUUCUAUAUGUCUGCUACAAGGCAGCAGGUCAUGUGGCCUUCAAAAAGAAGCUAGCAGAUAGAUGGAUGUGAUGAUUGGAGCCCAUGGAGAUUUAUUUUCUUGGAAAGAAAAUGUCCAAGAACUGUCAAUAUACAUGUUUUUAGAAUUGAAGGUGAAAUAAUUUGUUGUUGAAGGCUUUCAUGGCUGGAAUCACUGGGUUGCUGUGAGUUUUCUGGGCUGUAUGGCCAUGUUCCAGAAGUAUUCUCUCCUGACGUUUCACUCACAUCUAUGGCAGGUAUAAUCCGAGAUUGCGAGGAACUCUAAAAUCAAACAAUAAAUAAACAAUUAUCUAGUUGCA